GCCACCCCGCUGCGCCCGCCGCCGCCGCCGCCGCCGGGUCCCGCUCGGCUCGGCGCCGCGCCGUCACGUGUGCUCUCGCAGCGCGUCCCCUUCGCGCACUUUCUCGGCUCUGCGGCCUCGGCUGCGACUCCGGCCCCUCCCCCGCAAGGAUGGGGAAGUCAAGGCAGCAAGCGCCGCGAGCGUGCGUCGGGUUGUCGGCGCGCACACCUCGUCGUUCUCCUUGCGUGAAUUAAGAGUUUGUGCGGGGCUCCCACAUUUGCUCUGCUGGAGUUAGUUGCCUCCGCUACUGGGUCGCAUCCAGGACGUCUUAAACUGGCUAGUUUCCUCUCCAGAUUGCGUAGUCCCCUUUUCCUUUGCACGACCACCUUCCCCGCUCCUGGCCUCAUGCCUACCUCCAAGGGAGGGCUGAAAGCCAGAGAAUUACCUCUGGGAACACCACCGACAAUUAAGAAUCUGGAUGAACCCGCCCCAUUGUGAAAUUCACAUAGUUUGAACUACUCAUGGCACCGAAACGUAUCAAAUGUGGCCGUAGCCAAAAACUACCCUCGAUCAAGCCAAACUGCCCCUGCUUCUAGCAUAGUAAACGUACACCCCUGGCAGAGGCAGUAAAAACAAGAGCACAUCUAACAAGUAACUCCACCACACCUGGACAAUUGCACGGUUAUACAAUAUGUCCUUGCACGCAUGAAUACCUAUGCAUGGCUCAGGACCUCAGCACAGUGGCUUACUGUGAUCCUUCCAAGGUGACCAAGCACUGAGCCAUUCCACCCCAGCAGUAAAAUGCAUAUUUACCAGUCCCAAGCCCAAAGCCAACACUGCUGCCAGUCCCAACUCUCAGACUGUGGUCAGUAGCAGGAGGAAACAGACGCCUAAAGAGAAGGAGAAAUACAAUUUAAAUAAAAUCUAAAUUCAACUAGAAGAGCCAGACUCUCUGAACCAGAGGAGAUAAAAGUCCUGUGCUUGGAGCUGCUGAGGUGCAAAAUGAGACCCAGAAUAAGUAUACUUUGAUGGGGACCAGAGCAAAGAACCGGAGCACAGAGCAUUACCUAGAAGAGCAGAACUGAGCACAGCAUUAUUACAGUGGAGCAUCCUGGCUAAGGAGGCUGCAAUGCCAACUGCAUCACCAGGAUCCCUGAUACUCCGGCUUCCUAUUGCCUGUGGCCAAUUGGAAGUGCUGGCAGGAGAUCAUAGUGUGUCAUAGAAAGGAAGUCAGGGUAAUUCUUCCUCUAGUUCUCUGCCUUACAAGUAGCUACUGGUCAGCCAUGUCCCUCUACUGAAGGUCCCAGCUCCUUAUGGGCCAUCCUCACUCCUCAAUACAGCUACCCUCUCUGGGUUCCAGUAACUAGCUCAGAAUUCUGUAUUACCCCUGUAAAUGUCCCCCACUUGAAAAUCCCAAUUUUAUUAAGCUCUUCUUAAAAUAUCCAAUUGCAUGUGCCAUCUAAGACCACUUCUGAUAGCCAAUCAACAUCCAUCAAACUGACAGCAUGAUAAUUAAGAUCAUAAAAACUGCCCCCAAGACAAGUUUAAGUACUGACCCAGACUUUGUCCUAUAAUUUUAUUAGUUUGAAUUGUUACAAAGGGGACUUUCAAAAGUCCCCUCUCCCCCUUUGGUGGUACUGGAGAUUGAACCCAAGACUUCUCAUGUGCUAGGCAAGUAUUCUACCACUGAGCCACAUCAUCAGCCCUUAAUUUUUUCUGUGUCCUAUACUUCCAGUUUGAAUAAGUUCCCUUCAGAUGAAUAGUAAUACCUGGGUAAUACCCUUGUUAAAUAUGUAUAGGUGUUAGAUAUAUGCUUGCUUUUUCACUCAAUUGUGCAAAGAUGUAAAACUAAAACUGUACUGAAGCUGUAAAUUAUUAAGAGUAACUAAAUAUUAAUAGAUUAUAGUGCAGUAAUUCAGAGUACAAGCUUGCUGUCAGACAGAUAGGCACUGAAAUCUUAACUGUGGGCUUUGAAAAGUUACUUAAUCUCUCCAAGCCUUGGUUUUUCUCUUCCAUAAAUAGUUGUAUAAUUGGGAUCAAUAGAAAAAUUUGCCCCUGGAGAUCAAAUUUUUUCAAUUGAUUAUUCUAUUCUUCUAGUCUAUAUUCUUGUCUUAUGGUCUACAGAUGUCAGAGAGAAAGCAGCUACAUACAGCUAUUACUAGAAUUUCUACUCUAUUAUAGUUAAUAUGUACAAUUCGUGUCAAAAGGUAUGCAAGCAUUACUACAAACAGCAUCGGAUACAGCUUGGUGGUCCAGGUUAUUACUUGCAAAUCCACAAGUCCUGUUUUAGCCACAAAAUCAAGUAUCGUUGCAGCUGUUCUCCCAAGAGGGAAAUAUGGGGUUUUGGUAUCAUAGAUACCACUCAUCAACUAGCUAUUAGUUAUUUGGAAAUUGUUAGCAACCGUUUUGCCCAAAAUUUACUGCCUAUUUUGCAAUGCGUAAUUCAGACUUGCUGUACAUUCUUUCCAAUUUAUGAUCUAUGUAUAAUAAUUUUCAGCCUCUUUUUAAUUUUCAACAUACUCAGUUUAGCAAUUCAUGUCACUUCUUACAUUGAGUCAUAUUAGAGCAAAUGUAAAGCAAGGUCCAAGACCAUGGGAAGAGUUUAUCCAGAUAUAUUAAACUCAUUUUUGACUGAGUUUAUAUGGUACAAUUAAUAUGGAAAUAAUGCUUCAAUUCUUUUUUAAUGCAUAUCUCAAAACACAUUUCUGGUAACUAAUAUGAUACUUUGACUCUGGGUUUUAGUAUAACCUUUCAAGGGCAAAUUCUUCAAUUGAGUACAUCUGACAGACAACUUAAUCCGAUAACCGUAACUACUUUAGUGUGUUGUGAAAGCUAAAUGAGGUUUAUUUAUAAAGUAGGAAUACAGUAAGGACUUGAAAAAUGUUAACUGUCAUCAUUGCUAUUAGUUUUAAUUUGAAAUCCUCCAAUGACAUGACGAUGAACAUCUUUUCGUGUGCUUAUUAGCUAUCUGUCUACUUUGGUGAGGUAUCCAUUCAGAUCUUUUGCCCAUUUUUCAAUUGGGUUGUUAAUUUUCUUAUCGCUAAGUUUUAAGUAUUCUUGGUAGCUUAUGGAUAAUGGUCUUUUAUCAGAUAUGUCAUUUACAGAUAUUUGCUGCUAGUCUGUGCCUUAUUUUCUCAUUUUUUAAAUAUUAUUGCUAUUUUGAUACUAAAGUGUUAUUAAAAUGAUGGAUAUAUACUAACAAGAACCAAUAAAAUAAACUCUAAAAAAAUUAAAAUCAUUACACAUUCUAGUGAAUUAUCUCAUACAGUUGUUGUGGGGAUUACAUGAGUUAAUAUUUCCAAAAUACUUAGGAAGCUACUAUAGUAAAAAAUUAUGUGUUAAUUAAUACACAAGUAUUAUUUAAGUACAAAUACCUAGGAAUAAUUCACUUUCUUUCUCCAUAUCUUUUUAUUAUAUGACUUCUAACUUCAUCCUGAAAUUUUUUUUCCUAGGUUUAUAGACCUUCCUAAGCACAUACAGAAUUAAGUUCUGACUUUUUGCAUCAGGUCAGUUUACGGUCAAAAGUUAUUUCAAGUUCUUGAAUAUUUAUUCCUCACUAUGUUAGCCAACAUUUCUUCACUAUAACAAAAUAUCCAAGAAAAUCAACUUAAAGGAGGAAAGAUUUAUUUUCACUCAAAGUUUCAGAGAUUUCAGUCCAUGGUCACUUGGCCCUGCUGCCUUGGGCCUUUAGUGAGGCAGAAUGUGGUAGAGCAAAGGUGCUCGCUGUGGUGGUCAAGAAGCAAAGCAAGAGAGACAGAGUGAGGAAGGGGCUGGGGACCAGAUAUACCCUUCCAGGCACACCCCCAGUGACUGACUGUCUCCAAUAGGCCCCAUCUCCUACAAUUUCUACCACCUCCCAAUGAUUCAUUCAAUUAUGAACACAUCACAGGAUACAUCCAUUGAUGAGGUCAGGUCCCUCAUCAAUGUCCCUCAUCAGUUCCGUAAAGCCUGCUCUGAUAAUUACUGCGCUGAAGAUUAAGCCUUAACACAUUAGCCUUUGGGGGACAUUCCAAAUCCAAACCACAAUACCCACACUCUUAAAUGAGAUCAUAUAUAUCUUUUUUAGAGCAUGUUAAUUAUACAUAGCAGUUGGGUUAAUUUGGACAAAAUCAUACAUGCAAGGAAUUUGAUUUCAAGCCCUAUCCCCCCAUAUAUCUCUCUACCACUAUGGUAGAACAAUUGGACCUGCUUUCCAACCCAACUUCUCACCUUGACCCCCACCCCAGUGACAUAAAUCCGGAAAACAAGUGAUUGGGAAGAAAUGACUAGAACUGGAGCAGUUGAUUCUCCAUUAAUUUAGGGAUUUAUGUGCAUUAAAUUUGGAGAUAACUCAGAAUAGUGAAGGGAUAAAUGCUUUAUUUAAAACAAUGAUCCAGAGUUCCCGCUCUCCAGGUGUCAAAUUUAUGAUAAUGGGGAAUAUGAAAUUUCUUAUUUAGACGAGGCAAGUGUUUUCAUGACUAAACUCAUCUUUGAUUUUGUGGCUUGUGUUCCGGUACACAGGCGAAGGUGCCCGAGGCCCAGAGUAGAUAUUGCUGUCUUACCCCUCCCUUCCCCUGUCCUCUGGAUAGAAGCUUAAAGUGCCUCUUUUCAUGCAGGAGCCAACAGACCCCAACACCAGAGCCUUUUAGUCAUAGCUGAGAGCAGAAAUUCUGAAUAUGUGAGUAAAUCUGCUGAUACCCUCUGAAGUCUGAGGACGUAAAUGUUACUUAUACAAGAAAAAAACUCAAGGGGUCUGAAAUUUGACUAUUUCUUUCGAGAAAAGGGUAGAUUCUAAGAGAAAAGGUGUUUGGUGGGAAUGGGGGUUAGAGGAGAAGGCUAAUAAAAAUGAGAGAGAAGAAGCUGGUACCAAGGGAAUGUCCGUGAGGGAUGCUCUCUAAAGGGCUCCGUGAAAAGAUCCAGCUCCUUAUCUAUGGUACAAACAAACAAAUUCUAGAACAGGCACCUUGCUUGAUUUCUCCCAGGCUCUUCCCUCUAAAUUAGCAAGGAGUCUUUUGGAUGUAAAUGAUAGAGAUGAAAACUAGCCAAAGUGUUAAAGGGAAAUUGUAGGUUUAAAUAAACAGGAAGACUAAGAGGUGAACUGAUUUCAGGUUAGCUGGAUCCAGCGGUUCGAAUUAUAACAUUAGGACUUUGUUUUCUCUGACAUCUCUUAGUUCUACAGACAGCUAAUUAUGUUGAUUUCAGUCAGAAUUCCUCCAUGUGAUAUCAAAGGUAAUCACUAGAUAUCCCUAGCUUGUGCCAUCCUUCAAGAUAAAGAGAAAACAGAGAACCUUUUCUCCCCAGCAUGUCAUUCAGUUGAUAUCAGUCUCUGCAGAGGACCCUGAUGAGACUUUGUCCAUCUCUCUGGAUCCAGGAGGAUGAGAUAUUUUGACUAGUCAACUAGAGAUUUAUGCCUACAAGAACCACAUGGUAUGGGGAGAGACCUUUCCCAGGUAUUCAUGGCAAUCUCAAUUCCGUAAUUCUGAUUAGAAUACUUCUCUAAACUAUGAAAUGAACUUAUUUUUACUCCCAUGGUGUAUUUGAUGCCACCUCAGGCAUCAAGGACAGGCCAAGGAUCUUCCUCUCAGAACUCUUUCCCUCAUGGUGGAUCAGCAGGUGAUGCUUUGCCUAGAUAUUGAAAUCGAGAUUUAAAACCUUGGAAGGUUACUGGGCUGCACCACCGCCCCAACUUUCCUUCCUACCUCCCUAGCUGGUCACUAAGGCCACACCUGUUACACAGGAAAAGAAAGCAUCUGGCACAGAUUAUAUCAGUACACUAACCACAUUUAUUCUUUCCUACUCUCACUUCACCAAUCUGUUUUUGACUCCACUGGGGUCAAACCAAGAAGACAGACAGAAAAGAGAUCAUGCCAUAUUAGUCAUAUAAUUCCUCU